rnacentral:tRNA from 2 species
GUUCAAGUCCUCUAUCCCCA